AUAAGAGUGACAUCCAUUGCUCCACCCACUUUGGAUGCUGGCCCCACCCACUUUCACUUCUGGCUCCGCCUGCCACUGGUUCCAGAAGGUUCCCCAUGAGUGAAUGAGGCUGGAAAAGUCAACAAUACUGAGCUAGAUGGACCAACAACCCGACUUGCUAUAAGGCUUCCUAUGUAUCCUGCAAGUAACAAUGCAGUAACGCUAAGAACCAGUUAAACUGUAAAACCAAAUUCAGUUAAAAUGCCUGCUGAAUUUUCAAAGUCUUCAGUAGGCACCAGAAGUUCAAUGGGGAGGGGUGAUGUUUGACCGACCUCAACUAAAGGGGAGUUCCCUCCAAACUAGAAGGGAGUUCUGCCUGUCUGUGUGCCAUGUGGAGACCAGCAGGAGAUGAUUGCGGCCUCGUCUCAGGGUAGAUGAAGAUCGUGAAGCUUUUGAUGCGGAGAACGAGCGCUUCUGAUCUCUGACAAAAACCCUGCUCAGAACUCUGUGCUGGGGCUUUCCCAUGCACGUUUAUAGAUGAACUUGGGGCGAAUGGCAGGUCUUACGAACUCAAAGCGGUCCCCAGCGAAACGAUGCUUUGUAGAUGUCCCCGGCCCCCCAUUUCCCCCCCUCUGCCUCCUCUCCUUUUUGUCUCCUUCAGCAGUCGGGAGCAGCAUCCCCAGCCAAACGGGAGAGAGCAUGGUAGCCGUUCCAGACCCCAGAUGCCAAUAUGUGGCAGCAUCUGGUUCAUUGGCAGGCAUCGCAGACAGUUGUGCUGGCUGCUCUUGAGACUUUCGUGUGGCUUAUUUUGCUGUCAGGCACACUGACUCUUUGAGAAAGUGGUCCCAACUGUGCGAACAAAGAGCGAACGGAAGAAAAGUGGCGCUGGCAUUGUGUGUGUGUGUGUGUGUGGAAUGGCCUGCAUUAGAGAUGGAGCUUACAAGGUAAGGUGACUGGUGUUGUGGGAUGCUUCCCCUGUUCUCGCGCCACUGAACAUCCCAUCCCGAUGCAUCUCGAAUAACUGCACCUUCUUGCGACGUUACUGUUUUUGCAGGCGCCUUAAGGCAUGGAGCUCCUUGAAAGAGAAACACAAAUAGCUCAAAACGGAGAGAUAAAAAACAACCAAAACCCCCUCUCUCCUUAGAGGCCAUGUGUUUGGCUUGGGAAACACACGAUAACAGCUUGCUUGAAAAAGGUGACAUUUCUACCGAAAAGCUGAAUAAUAAAAAUAAAAGAAUGCCGCUAUAAAUGCAGCUCGCCCGUGUCUUCAGACAGGGACGAGACUUUUCUGAUGGAG